CCCCUAGAUGUUCUGGGCUGCACGCGUGCUACAAUGAAGCGUCCAACAAGAUGCGAAGCCGAAAGGCUCAGCGGAUCUUUGAAGUCGUUUCGUGACCGGGACAGUUGAUUGCAAUUAUUCGACUCGAACGAGGAAUUCCUUGUAAUCGCGAUUCAUCAUAUCGCGCUGAAUACGUCCCUGCCCUUUGUACACACCGCCCGUCGCUCCUACCGAUUGAGCGAUCCGGUGAAUUAUUUGGAGUGUCCACGCAAGCCAAUCCGUUUACGUGGGUGCGAAAUUUUGUAAACCUUAUCGCUUAGAGGAAGGAAAAGUCGUAACA
rnacentral:rRNA from 1 species